rnacentral:pre_miRNA from 12 species
GCCCUCUGCUGUGGUCUAUGGCUUUUUAUUCCUAUGUGAUUGCUUUUCCUAACUCAUGUAGGGCGAAAAGCCAUGGGCUACUCAGGGGAGG